UACGAGGGGUGCAAGCGUUGUUCGGAAUUACUGGGCGUAAAGGGAGCGUAGGCGGAUAAUCAAGUUGGCAGUUUAAUCCCGAGGCCCAACCUCGGACUUGCUGUCAAAACUGAUUAUCUUGAAUCAUUCAGAGGCAGAUGGAAUUUCAGGUGUAGCGGUGGAAUGCGUAGAUAUCUGAAAGAACACCAAUGGCGAAGGCAGUCUGCUGGGGAUGUAUUGACGCUGAGGCUCGAAAGCGUGGGUAGCAAACAGG
rnacentral:rRNA from 1 species